rnacentral:rRNA from 1 species
CUACGUAGCUCAGAGUUUGAUCCUGGCUCAGGAUGAACGCUGGCGGCGUGCUUGACACAUGCAAGGUCGAACGAAGAAGAGUUGAAUGAGAGCUUCGGCAGGAUUUCUUCUCAUCUUAGUGGCGACGGGUGAGUAACGUGUGGGCAACCUGCCCUAUACUGGGGAAUAAUCACUGGAAACGGUGACUAAUACCGCAUGUCAUCACCGGAGGGCAUCCUCUGGUGAAAAAAGGAGCAAUUCGGUAUAGGAUGGGCCCGCAUCUGAUUAGCUAGUUGGUGAGAUAACAGCCCACCAAGGCGACGAUCAGUAGCCGACCUGAGAGGGUGAUCGGCCACAUUGGGACUGAGACACGGCCCAA